rnacentral:rRNA from 1 species
AGAGUUUGAUCCUGGCUCAGAUUGAACGCUGGCGGCAUGCUUUACACAUGCAAGUCGAACGGUAACAGGUCUUCGGAUGCUGACGAGUGGCGAACGGGUGAGUAACACAUCGGAACGUGCCUAGUAGUGGGGGAUAACUACUCGAAAGAGUAGCUAAUACCGCAUGAGAUCUAAGGAUGAAAGCAGGGGACCUUCGGGCCUUGCGCUACUAGAGCGGCUGAUGGCAGAUUAGGUAGUUGGUGGGAUAAAAGCUUACCAAGCCGACGAUCUGUAGCUGGUCUGAGAGGACGACCAGCCACACUGGGACUGAGACACGGCCCAGACUCCUACGGGAGGCAGCAGUGGGGAAUUUUGGACAAUGGGCGAAAGCCUGAUCCAGCAAUGCCGCGUGUAGGAUGAAGGCCCUCGGGUUGUAAACUACUUUUGUACGGAACGAAAAGCUCUCUUCUAAUAAAGGAGAGUG